GCUUUUAAAGGAAAACAGUUCAUCCG
rnacentral:tRNA from 1 species